rnacentral:rRNA from 1 species
CGCGGCCUAUCAGCUUGUUGGUGGGGUAACGGCCUACCAAGGCAUCGACGGGUAGCUGGUCUGAGAGGAUGAUCAGCCACACUGGGACUGAGACACGGCCCAGACUCCUACGGGAGGCAGCAGUGGGGAAUCUUGCGCAAUGGGCGAAAGCCUGACGCAGCAACGCCGCGUGCGGGAAGAAGGCCCUAGGGUUGUAAACCGCUUUCAGUAGGAACGAAAAUGACGGUACCUGCAGAAGAAGGUGCGGCCAACUACGUGCCAGCAGCCGCGGUGACACGUAGGCACCAAACGUUGUCCGGAUUUAUUGGGCGUAAAGAGCCCGUAGGCGGUUCAGUAAGUCGGGUGUGAAAACUCUGGGCUUAACCCAGAGCCGCCACUCGAUACUGCUGUGACUUGAGUUCGGUAGGGGAGCAGGGAAUUCCUAGUGUAGCGGUGAAAUGCGCAGAUAUCAGGAGGAACACCGAUGGCGAAGGCAGGUCUCUGGGCCGAUACUGACGCUGAGGAGCGAAAGCGUGGGGAGCGAACAGGAUUAGAUACCCUGGUAGUCCACGCUGUAAACGUUGGGCGCUAGGUGUGGGGGACCUCUCCGGUUCUCUGUGCCGCAGCUAACGCAUUAAGCGCCCCGCC